CAUGCAAGUCGACGAGGUCCAUCCGGUGGCAACACCGGUGAAGACCGAGUGGCGAACGGGUGAGUAACACGUGAGGAACCCACCCCGGAGACCGGGAUAACCCUCCGAAAGGAGAGCUAAUACCGGAUGCCGUCUGCGGAUCGCAUGAUCUGCAGACGAAAUGGAUUCCGCUCCGGGACGGCCUCGCGGCCUAUCAGCUUGUUGGUGGGGUAACGGCCUACCAAGGCGACGACGGGUAGCUGGUCUGAGAGGACGAUCAGCCACACUGGGACUGAGACACGGCCCAGACUCCUACGGGAGGCAGCAGCGGGGAAUAUUGCACAAUGGGCGAAAGCCUGAUGCAGCAACGCCGCGUGGGGGAUGAAGGCUCUCGGGUUGUAAACCCCUUUCAGCAGGGACGAAUCUGACGGUACCUGCAGAAGAAGCCCCGGCCAACUACGCGCCAGCAGCCGCGGUAACACGUAGGGGGCAAGCGUUGUCCGGAUUUAUUGGGCGUAAAGAGCUCGUAGGCGGUUCGGUAAGUCGGGUGUGAAAACUCUGGGCUCAACUCAGAGACGCCACCUGAUACUGCCGUGACUUGAGUCUGGUAGGGGAGUGUGGAAUUCCCGGUGUAGCGGUGAAAUGCGCAGAUAUCGGGAGGAACACCAGUGGCGAAGGCGGCACUCUGGGCCAGUACUGACGCUGA
rnacentral:rRNA from 1 species